rnacentral:tRNA from 1 species
CAUUAGAUAUCUUAAAUGUAAGAAUUGAUUUUUUAAUUCAAUUAUAAUAAAUUAACAAAUAUUUCUAAUGA